AUUGAACGCUGGCGGCAUGCUUUACACAUGCAAGUCGAACGGUAACAGGGAGCUUGCUCCGCUGACGAGUGGCGAACGGGUGAGUAAUGCGUCGGAACGUGCCGAGUAGUGGGGGAUAACGCAUCGAAAGGUGUGCUAAUACCGCAUACGUACUGAGGUAGAAAGUGGGGGACCUUCGGGCCUCACGCUAUUCGAGCGGCCGACGUCUGAUUAGCUAGUUGGUGAGGUAAAGGCUCACCAAGGCGACGAUCAGUAGCGGGUCUGAGAGGAUGAUCCGCCACACUGGGACGGAGACACGGCCAAGACUCCUACGGGAGGCAGCAGUGGGGAAUUUUGGACAAUGGGCGCAAGCCUGAUCCAGCCAUGCCGCGUGUCUGAAGAAGGCCUUCGGGUUGUAAAGGACUUUUGUCCGGGAGCAAAUGCCUGGUGUUAAUAGCAUCGGGAGCUGAGAGUACCGGAAGAAUAAGCACCGGCUAACUACGUGCCAGCAGCCGCCGUAAAAC
rnacentral:rRNA from 1 species